GGCUCAGUGGCUUAGUGGGUAGGGCAUUGGCCCCAUAUGCCGAGGGUGCUGGGUUCGAACCCGGCCCCUGCCA
rnacentral:tRNA from 1 species